UACAGAGGUCUCAAGCGUUGUUCGGAUUCAUUGGGCGUAAAGGGUGCGUAGGCGGCGCGGUAAGUCGGGUGUGAAAUCUCGGGGCUUAACUCCGAAACUGCAUUCGAUACUGCCGUGCUUGAGGACUGGAGAGGAGACUGGAAUUUACGGUGUAGCGGUGAAAUGCGUAGAUAUCGUAAGGAAGACCAGUGGCGAAGGCGGGUCUCUGGACAGUUCCUGACGCUGAGGCACGAAGGUCAGGGGGAGCAAACAGG
rnacentral:rRNA from 1 species